AAGUCGAGCGAACCACUUCGGUGGGAAGCGGCGAACGGGUGAGUAACACGUAGGUGAUCUGCCCAUCAGACGGGGACAACGAUUGGAAACGAUCGCUAAUACCGGAUAGGACGAAAGUUUAAAGAUGCUCCUGGCAUCACUGAUGGAUGAGCCUGCGGCGCAUUAGCUAGUUGGUGGGGUAAAGGCCUACCAAGGCGACGAUGCGUAGCCGACCUGGGAGGGUGAACGGCCACACUGGGACUGAGACACGGCCCAGACUCCUACGGGAGGCAGCAGUAGGGAAUCUUCGGCAAUGGGCGAAAGCCUGACCGAGCAACGCCGCGUGAAUGAAGAAGGCCUUCGGGUUGUAAAAUUCUGUUAUAAGGGAAGAAAGGUGAUAGGAGGAAAUGACUAUCAAUUGACGGUACCUUAUGAGAAAGCCACGGCUAACUACGUGCCAGCAGCCGCGGUAAUACGUAGGUGGCAAGCGUUAUCCGGAAUUAUUGGGCGUAAAGAGCGCGCAGGUGGUUAAUUAAGUCUGAUGUGAAAGCCCACGGCUUAACCGUGGAGGGUCAUUGGAAACUGGUUGACUUGAGUGCAGAAGAGGGAAGUGGAAUUCCAUGUGUAGCGGUGAAAAUGCG
rnacentral:rRNA from 1 species